CGCGCAGGCGGCCAUUCAAGUCAGGGGUGAAAGCCCGAGGCUCAACCUCGGAAUUGCCUUUGAAACUGUUUGGCUUGAGUACGGGAGAGGUGAGUGGAAUUCCCAGUGUAGAGGUGAAAUUCGUAGAUAUUGGGAAGAACACCGGUGGCGAAGGCGGCUCACUGGCCCGUUUCUGACGCUCAUGCGCGAUAGCGUGGGGAUCAAACAGGAUUAGAUACCCUGGUAGUCCACGCCGUAAACGAUGGAUGCUAGCCGUUGGCGAGCUUGCUCGUCAGUGGCGCAGCUAACGCAUUAAGCAUCCCGCCUGGGGAGUACGGCCGCAAGGUUGAA
rnacentral:rRNA from 1 species